UUAGAUAUGUAAGCCAUUAAAGGGGUGUUUAAGGUAAAGAGGGGAAGAAUAAGCCUCAAAAAAUUAUGAAUCUAGGGAGUUAUGAACUGACCCACCAUAUAAGGAGUUGAUAAGGUAUAAAAUUGAUUUUUUUUAACUCUUUGGGCCAAAUAAGAAGUGAAGUUCCCAACUUCCACUUCUAAACUUCUUGAACCAAAUACAUCCUGAGGGUUUAGAAGUUACAAGUUUUUUAAAGUUAACCAUCGUUAUAAUAAAGUUGUGAAAUUCAACAUUGAGAUUAGGAGAUGAAAUUAGAAAUCCAUGGUUACUCGACUUUCUUUAGAUUCAUGAGGCUUAUUUUUGUGGAUGGUGCAAUGGUUUGCUUGUGGGAAGAUUAUUCUUGGGUGGGGGAGUGGUCGUAUUUGCCUUGCUUUCCGUAAUUUUCUCCCUUAAAGUUUGCUUUGGUGGCUUCUUUCCUUCCUUCCUUCUGGUCCUCUCCCACCUACAAUUUUUAUUUUUCCAUCUCGGGCACCUUUUGUCUGAUUGACAGUCUUUUGAUGUCUCUUUGAAUGCUGAUUUAUGUUAGUACCUGGGGUUAGGAAUGCUUGUCUAAUGACCUUAAUCCACAAGGGGUGCUUUCCUGUAGCUCAUUUUCUCUAUUGCAUGGGUAUCACCUCCUUUUCGUUUUCCUCGAUUUGGAAGGUGAGACUUUUCAAGAAGGUUCGGUUCAUCAUCUGUUGGGUCCCGAUAAUAGAGGAUUUAACACCGUUAAUUCUUAUUUAAAGAUCAUUUAAGAAUAAAAAGAAAAAAAAACAAAUAAUUCAGGGGUCUUAAUGGUGCAACAUUUGUGAGAGUACCUCAUCUAGAGCGCGUGUUCCGUUGGAGUGUUUGCAAGUAUGAUUUGAUACAGUAUUUCGUAGGCUUUUGGAGUGCAUAAGCGGUCUUGUUUGGUCGUGGGUGGUGGUGUUUCAUCCUCCUAUCUAAGAUAGGGGUAUUAGAUAACACGGAUUCUAUCUCAAAAUUGAUUGGCAAGGAGAGGAGUGAUCUAUGUAUCCUGUAAACUUUGUGAGGUCCAUUGAUUUGUUCAAUUUGGGAUCCUCAAUAUGUAUCUUCGGGAUGAUGUCUUUUUGGGUUCACUUUUGAUCAAAUAUCCACUUGGGUUUACGGACUCUAAUACAAUAUUAGAUAACUUGGGGUUCCAUCUUAAAACCAAUUGUAAGAAGAGUGACCCAGGUAUCGUAUAAACUUUGUGAGGUUCCUUGAUUAUUUAAUGAGAUCCUCAAUCAGAGUAACUCUGUUGUCUUAUUUUGUAGUAUUAGGAAUCUUUAGCUCAGAGACAAAUAGGAGAGAUGUUAAAAGUGUGGAGAGUUUUAGGAGGAGUUAUGUUAUGACCCUUAGGCUCAAUGCCUCGCUUUAAGAAUAGUGAUGAUCGCUCCUAUCUUCUGAUUAUUAUUAUUAUUUUAUCUCUCUGGAGUUUAUUCUGUAAUUUCUGUAGUUAGCUUUUUAUUAUGACUUUUUCCCCUUUUUCUGUUGCGGGACUUUUCGUUAAAAUUUUCUUAAAAUAUGGAAAGAGUUUUAUCGGGAGUAUUUUUACGAUUUCUCCUUAUUCCUUUUUCACUCUUUUAGUCAUUCAAAACUUUUGACAUAGAAGUAGAACUGAGAACUAGAUAGUUACAGAUUUGUGUGCACGUUGUCAUACUUUAUAAACCUUUUUCAUAACAAUUUGAAUGAACAACAGCGAAGAUUGAUAAUACAAGGAAGAGAUUGAUGAUUGUCCAGGGUGGGAUUCUUAUCGACAUAGGAGGGACAGUGAUAGAAAAAGAGAAUCACAAUCUAUGCCACGAAAAAAGGAAAUAUAUAUAUAUAUUAUAAACACAUAGCCUUAUUCUGAUCCCACUUCACCCACCACACCCACAUAUAUCGCUAGCUUUUUCCUGUUAACUCUUUUAACAAAGCAUUUGAUGUGACCAAGCAUUUGAGAGAGAGAUAAAGAGGUUGGUGUCUAGCUCAGCUGCGAGAGAGCACUGCAUAAAAACACCUUUCUGCUAUAUAUGCAUUUCUUAUCUCACUUGGUAUUUAUGGCAGAGGAAUGUAAAGGUGGAAUCUCUUCCCCUGAACACUUGACAUUUUCCACUUUUUAACAUUACAUCUGUCUAAACAUACAGGUGAGAGAAGGAAGAGUAAAAGACAUGACAAGGACCAUUGCCUGCGAUUGUACUGAGCUCCUCAUGUCAAUCAUUGGUAGUAAAGACUUGGUAGGGUUGUAGGCUUCUCCAACGGAUUAUUAAUAUGAAGUAUCGCAAACUUUAUAGGAUACCUAUCAAGACUGGUUCAGCUUAAUUUUAGAUGGGAAAAGGUUUAUAAGGCAGGGAUUUAUCACUUUCGAUUAACAUUGCCAUAGUUGAUGCAGUUAUCAAGGUAUUUUAUCCAGAAGAUCGAGGCGCACGAAGACUUGUCUCAAAUGAAGUGGAGAUUUCUCGAUUAGAUGGAGAAUAAGAAAGGAAGCGAGGAAAAUUCUCUCUCCGUUGACUAAACGAAGACGGGGACAGGGAACACUGCCCACCCCCAUUUCCGCCCCGUGUGUGUGGGGUGGGGGGUGGUACUGUGAGUCCUAUAACUCACAAAUUUUGUAUGUAUACCAUGAGUUAUAUAUAACUCACUUUCACACACAUAUAGUUUUGGAAU